rnacentral:rRNA from 1 species
AACGAACGCUGGCGGCAGGCUUAACACAUGCAAGUCGAGCGCCCCGCAAGGGGAGCGGCAGACGGGUGAGUAACGCGUGGGAAUCUACCCAUCUCUAGGGAAUAACGCAUGGAGACGUGUGCUAAUACAGUAUUCGUCCUUCGGGAGAAAGAUUUAUCGGAGAUGGAGGAGCCCGCGUUGGAUUAGCUAGUUGGUGGGGUAAAGGCCUACCAAGGCGACGACCCAUAGCUGGGCUGAGAGGAUGAUAAGCCACACUGGGACUGAGACACGGCCCAGACUCCUACGGGGGGCAGCAGUGGGGAAUAUUGGACAAUGGGCGCCAGGCUGAUCCAGCAAUGCAGCGUGAGUGAUGAAGGCCCUAGGGUUGUAAAGCUCUUUCACCAGUGAAGAUAAUGACGGUAACCGGAGAAGAAGCCCCGACUAACUUCGUGCCAGCAGCAGCCGCCGUAA